rnacentral:tRNA from 1 species
UAUAAAGUGCCUGAAAAAAGGGAUAUUCUGAUAGAGUAAAUUAUGUAAAAUUUUACCUUUAUAA